rnacentral:rRNA from 1 species
UACGUAGGCAGCAAGCGUUGUUCGGAAUUACUGGGCGUAAAGAGUGUGUAGGCGGUGCUCUAAGUUCGGUGUGAAAUCUCCUGGCUCAACUGGGAGGGUGCGCCGGAAACUGGGGUGCUGGAGCGCGGGAGAGGAAAGCGGAAUUCCUGGUGUAGCGGUGAAAUGCGUAGAUAUCAGGAGGAACACCGGCGGUGUAGACGGCUUUCUGGACCGUAGCUGACGCUGAGACACGAAAGCGUGGGUAGCAUACAGG